CACCACACCCGCUUCCGGAGAACAGCUCAGAAGAGGCGGCUCCGCCCCUUUAGGAAAAUCCUACCCGUAACGCGCGCGGCCCGGCACGGAAGAAUGAGGCAUACGAAGGGGAAAUCAACUUUCACCAGUCGUUCAAAGAGAGACACUUCCAGAUUGAAGUUCUUUGCCAGGUCAUAAACGUUGGCACUAGGCUGAAGCUGAAAAAGAAGGGAGAGGAGUAUUUUUACAGCACUAAUCCUAUGUGUUAUUAAGAUUUUUUUUUUCCUAUUAGUCUCUUUCUAUUACUGAUUUCCAGUCAAAAGGCCAGAAACAUGAUUCUCGCAGAAGUACUAAAUAGCAAAGUUGGAUACUGUGAUAACUGAGGUGGAUUCAAGCGCAUGUCAAGUUGUGUCAGCUAAACUAAAGAAUAAAUCCCACAGGAACUCUAUAACCAAAGGAGACAGCACCUGUGGUAUCCAUGGAGACUGGUGAGCAGUACAUAUUGGCAACCCUUCACAUUUGGUGUUUGGUAAAAAGGUUCUAGUUCAUUUGCACAACAGUCAGAGGCAUCUGUCAUGAAUAUUACCUGCUGGUGAUCUCCAAUGAGGAUGAGAUGCUGGCAAGCUUUACUAAGAGUAGUAAUAGUGUGAGCCUCAAGCACCUCUGCUGCCUCUUCCACAAUUACAAUUCGUGGCUCUACUUUCUGCAAGAUCUGACGGUAUUUGGCAGCACCUGGACAAGGACAGAAGAUUUUGCAAUUACACAGAGGCACUAUGAUAAAGUUUUCAGAGAAGGGUUAAACUGUGUUCUAGAAAAGUCUGAGCUUCUUUCCAAAAUUCCAAAAAAGCUAAGUCUUAGAAUAUGGAUUUUAAAACAGCACCAAUGCCAAAGAUGGCUUCUACACAGAAAGUUGUUAGGGAAGGAUUAGAGUCCUAUGCCUACCUUGGCCCAUUCUUGACUUUUUAAACACACACAAGUAAACCUCAAACUACCUCUCUAAAGGCUCAUACUACUAGACUUAUGCUAUCUCUGCUCACCAAAAGGUGAUGUGGAAAAAGCAGUGCAGAAAUGAAUAGCAUUUAACUCAAGCACAAGAAAUGGAGCAUUAAUAUUAUAAGAAUAUUGCUAAAAAGUAAAUAAAAAACUGCUUGUGCAAACUGAAAACUUGUUUCUGCAAUAGCCACGUUUGCAAAGGGAAUCAGAAAUGAAGAGGGCUGCAGAUUAACGUGGAGCCUGACCCAGUCUGUCAAACAGCACAGGAUAGCAAUCCUUUGACAACAAGGUCCUUUAACUAUUGCUGGAAGCAGUGCAGCACUAGCUUGCUCCCCAAAUGCUGCACACCUGUAGUUGUCAUCCCCACAACUUUGGCCUCCUUCAGAAUGCAGAGAUCUUCUUGCAGCCUCAGUUCUGCCAGCCUUUCAGCUGCUGCCUGGUACUGCUGUUCGUGCUGAAGAAUCUUCCGUCGAAUAAGUCCCUGAUAGGUCUGCAGCCAAAGCCUGAGAGGAAAGAGCCAUUAGUACCCACAGAAAGGAGGACAGAACAGUGAUCCAAAAGUUCAAGGUCGAUUCAGUUCAGCUUCUUUGCCCUUUGUGAAAGACAUGACUAGCAUCUGUACUCAGUCCCCUGUGCACACAGUGGAGAUGACAACACUGCCCUGCCAAUGCAGGCGGGGUAAAAGCAAAUAUCUUACAGGAAAAAGUUUGUUCAGAUAACAAGCUGAACAUGUAUGAAUAAAAAACCUUGGCUUGCAAGAAGGUGUUUGAGCUCUGACAGUCCCUGACACCCUUGCUUGACAAACCCCAGAUAAAAUAUCUUUGUCACCUGUAAAGCCUCCAGCGGGAGUUCAUGUCAAGUUGCCAUAGAUCCUGAAUAGCAUAGGCCUCUGUCUCAGACAUUGCAUUCAAUUUAUGGAGCUCAACUUUCAUCUUAUGUUUCAUUUUCUUCCUCUGAGAAGAAGUUAUCUGGGGGGGAAAAAAAACCCAUGCCACUCCAUAAUAAGCAAUUACAGCACAAAUAUUAUUUUGUAUUUCUAUCUUAGCUCACCCAAAUUAUUCCGUACACAGACAAGCAGAGCCACAGUAUGCUAAUGUAUACAGUUACCUCCCACUGUGCAGACUUCUGUUGUGGUUGGACUGUUUCUUCUUCCUCAUUCUCCAGCUUCAUAGCCAACAGCAUACCGGCUAGUUCAUGAACUGCCCUGUGUUCUUCCUCCUUCCUCCUCUGAGCCUUUGCUGAGUCCUCAUCGUCAAUCACUCUAUCAGCUUGAAUCAGGUCAGCCUCCUCUAGGAUCUCCAAUAAAUCUUCUUCUGCUUCACCUUCCUGCUCCUCCUCUCUCUCCUCCUGCUGAUCACCUGUGAGAUUCAUCAGUUACAUGCAGGAAGUCACAGACACUCUAGCAAAAUAACAAUGCAGUAGUCAGAUCACCAUGUGAAAAUUAAGGUUAAUCUUUCCAUUGCCUUACAGUGUCAUGCAUCUUCC
rnacentral:lncRNA from 1 species